UAGGGAAUAUUAGAAAUGGACGAAAGUCUGAUCUAGCAACACCGCGUGUGCGAAGAAGGCCUUCGGGUCGUAAAGCACUUUUUGGAAGGAAUAGGAAGGAAUGUACUUCCAGAAUAAGUCUCGGCUAACUACGUGCCAGCAGCCGCGGUAACACGUAGGAGGCAAACGUUAUCCGGAUUUACUGGGCGUAAAGCGCGUGUAGGUGGUACUGUAAGUAGGGCGUGAAAGCUCCUGGCUCAACUGGGAGAGGCCGUUCUAAACUGCAGAGCUAGAGGAUGGUAGAGGGAGGUGGAAUUCCGGGUGUAGCGGUGGAAUGCGCAGAUAUCCGGAGGAACACCAGUGGCGAAAGCGGCCUCCUGGACCAUUCCUGACACUCAGACGCGAAAGCUAGGGUAGCAAACU
rnacentral:rRNA from 1 species